CCUACGGGAGGCUGCAGUGGGGAAUAUUGGGCAAUGGGCGCAAGCCUGACCCAGCAACGCCGCGUGAAGGAAGAAGGCUCUCGGGUUGUAAACCUCUUUUUUCAGGGACGUAGCAAGUGACGGUACUGGAGGUUUAAGUCUCGGCUAACUACGUGCCAGCAGCCGCGGUAAUACGGAGGUGGCAAGCGUUAUCCGGAUUUACUGGGUGUAAAGGGCGUGUAGGCGGGGACGCAAGUCAGAUGUGAAAGUCACGGGCUCAACCUGUGGCCUGCAGUUGAAACUGUGUUUCUUGAGUACGGGAGAGGCAGACGGAAUGCGUGGGGUAGCGGUGAAAUGCGUAGAUAUUAGGAAGAACACCGGUGGCGAAGGCAGUCUACUAGGCAACAACUGACGCUGAGGCGCGAAAGCGUGGGGAGCAAACAGGAUUAGAUACCCGUGUAGUC
rnacentral:rRNA from 1 species